rnacentral:lncRNA from 1 species
GGCUGGCCCAGGGGUAACAAGGGUAGAGCCCCAAUAGGUUUUGCAGGUAGGAUUGACAGGAUGUGGAGGAGAGGAGCCAGGCAUAGCUCUGACAUAUUUGGCCUUAGCAAUGCCAAAGGUGGGACUGUCCUUGCCUGGUACCACAAAAACCACAGCAGAAAUAAGUUUGGGGGUGAGGAGGUAAUGAGGGAUUCUGUUUUGACCAGAAUCAGCUUAUUUUAUUAUGUACGUAUUAUUUAUAUGGGGACAGGUUCUCACUCUGUUGCCCGGGCUACUGUGCAGUGGCAUGAUCACAGCUCGUUGCAGCCUCAACCUCCAGGGCUCAAGUGAUCCUCCCCCCUCAGCCUCCCAAAGUGCUGGGAUUACAGGCAUGAGCCAUUUUAUUUUUUUUUAUUUAUUUAUUGUUUUUAGAGACGGGCUUGCUAUGUCGCUCAGGCUGGUCUUGAACUCCUGGCCUCCAGUGCUCCUCCCACGUCAGCCACUCAAGUAGCUGGAAUUGCAGACUUAUUUUAGAUUGAAUGCUUUUCAUUUUUCUCUUUUUGAAACACCCUGUGGUUCAUGUUCUUACUCAGAGUAACAGUCCAUGUCCCCAUAGCAGCCCACAAGGCACCACGUGGCCCCGGCUGGCCUGUCCAGUGCUCUCCCCUCCGUCCGCUCGUCCUCUGCAUGCUGGCCUCCCUGUCAUUUCUAGAACACUCAGGCAUUCUCUUAAGCCAAGGCCUUUGUAGUUGUGAUUCCCUCUGCAUGGAAUGCUCUUCCCCAGCCAUCUCCUGUCACUCUCUCACCCACCCCAUGAGGUCAUGACCACGCUAUUUAGAUUGUCACACCCCAUCUCCUGGAUUGCAGAUGAGAUGAUAUGCAAUGUGCUUUUUAAAAAGACUACUAUGGACAAUGUCUAACAUAUACCAAAGUAGAGACAAAUUUAAUGUGCUUCCAUAUUCCCAGCACCUGCUUCAGUAGUCAACAGUAGCUGACCCUGUUUCAUCCUCACUUCUACCCAUUGUCCCAUUAUUUUGAAAUAUUUGAUCCCCAGACGUCCUAUUGUUUCAUUCAUAAAUCUUCAUAGUGGCUUACUUGUUUAUGGUUGAUUCGCCAGCCCCACUCCCUUCCAUAGCAGCCUAGUAAGGGUAGGGAUGUGGGUUUGGAUGCGUUUUGCUCAUUGCUGUGUAUCCAGCAUCUAGAACAAUGUCUGGCACCUCGUAGCUACUUAUCAAUAUUUAUUAGAUGAAUAAUUAGGUCAAGUUUGAUGAAGCCUGAAGAUUGAACUCUGGCUUUAAUACAAGAGGGGUAUUAAAUGUUUUGACUGCAGCUGUUUGAGAGGGGCUGGGAAUGCUGAAAAGCCUAAUUGGAAUAGUUGAGGAGAGAAUGGGGAAAAGGAAUCAGAAAUAGCGAUUAUGCACAACAGCUGAUACAGGGGAACAGAAAAUAGGACAUCUGAGAUCAAGAGAGAGCUUUCUUUAAGAGGGUAGAUAUUAUAGCCUGUCUGUGUGCCCCUGGGAAUGAUCAGGAAAGACUGAAAGCGAUGAUGCCAGACAGAGGGCAGCUCCUGGAGUGAUGUCAGGAAGUCCGUGUGGUGGUGCUCUGUCGCUGCAUAACAAACUACCCACUACUUAGAGGUUUAAAAAUUAAAAGCAAGUUAGCUCACAGUUUCAGUCGAUCAGGAAUCCAGCUUAGCAGGGUGAUUCUGUCCAAGUUCCUCCUGAGGGUACAGUCAUCUAAAAGCUUGUCCGGGGCUAGAAGAACCCUCUUCCAAGCUUCCACACAUGGCUUUUGGCAGGCGGCCAUUGUUCCUUGCCACAUGGCCUCUCCACAGGGCUGCUUGAAUGUCCUCACAGCAUGGCUGACUUCCCCCAGAGCAAGCCAUCCAAGAGAGCAAGAGACUAAGAUGGGAACCACAGUGUCUUUUGUGACCUAGUAUUAGAAGUUGCAUGUCAUCCCUUACUCUGAUUUGUUAGAAGGGAGUCACUAAGUACAAAGUAGGGUGGCCAGACAUCCAAAUAAAGAUAAACAAAGGCUUAUUAGUAUAGGUGUAUUCCAAAUAUUGCAUAGGGAAUUCUUACACUAAAUAAUGACUUUAUCUGAAACUCAAAGUUAAUGUAUGACCUGUAUUUUUAUUUGUUAGAUUUGGCAACUUCAGAAGGAAUUUGUGGACAUACUUUUAAACUACGGCUAGCCAAAGGGAAUGGGAUGUAGUGCAUAUGUAGAGCUCAGGCCUACAGAAACACGGCAGAUCAUAGGGAGAGGGCUGGCGGAGUACUUGGCAAAUGUAGAUAGGUAGGCGGGUGGGUAGGCAGAGGCAGUGAGGGGAGCAGGUGGACAUGCUCUUCUGAUUGCUUCUCUUUUCUCACCGGAGUAAGCAGCAAGGUUAUGGGCAAGGUAACCUUCUCCCGCCCCGCCAUACACCUUGCACAGAGCUUACCCUUGACUCAGACCCUCCAUGCUGGGGGAAUUACCUCCCUGUGACCAUCCUAGGAAGACACCUCUUGGCUCUUGCAGAGUCAGAAAAGCACAGGACAUGGAGUUGAGAAACCCGGUUUCUUCUUUUUCUUCUUUUUCUUUUUUUUGAGAUGGAGUCUCGCUCUGUUGCCCAGGCUGGAGUACAGUGGCACAAUCUCGGCUCACUGCAACCUCCACCUCCCGGGUUCAAGUGAUUCUCCUGUCUCAGCCUCCUGAGUAGCUGGGAUUACAGGCACACGCUGCCAUGACCAGCUAAUUUUUUGUAUUUUAGUAGAGAUGGGGUUUCACUGUUGUUGCCCAGGCUGGUCUCGAACUCCUGAGCUCAGGCAGUCUACCCACCUUGGCCUCCCAAAGUGCUAGGAUUACAAGUGUGAGCCACCGCACCUGGCCUGCUUUUUCUUUUCCCUGUUAUGGCCUCUCUGGGUUUCCAAAAUUCUAUCUCUUUUUUCUCUUUUUUUUUUUUUUUUUUU